rnacentral:rRNA from 1 species
GACUUCCGCAAGGACACUCGUAGAGGUGCUGCAUGGCUGUCGUCAGCUCGUGUCGUGAGAUGUUGGGUUAAGUCCCGCAACGAGCGCAACCCUUGUUUGCUGUUGCCAUCAGGUAAUGCUGGGCACUCUGCAAAGACUGCCGGUGAUAAACCGGAGGAAGGUGGGGAUGACGUCAAGUCAGCAUGGCCUUUAUGUCUGGGGCUACACACGUGCUACAAUGGCCGGUACAAACCGUCGCAAAGCCGCAAGGUGGAGCUAAUCGGAGAAAGCCGGUCUCAGUUCGGAUAGCAGGCUGCAACUCGCCUGCUUGAAGUUGGAAUCGCUAGUAAUCGCGGAUCAGCACGCCGCGGUGAAUACGUUCCCGGGCCUUGUACACACCGCCCGUCACAUCACGAAAGCCGGUUGUACUAGAAGUCGCCAUACCAACCCGCAAGGGAGAGAGGCGCCUAAGGUAUGGUCGG